rnacentral:rRNA from 1 species
GAAGUAAAAGUCAUAACAAGGUUUCCGUAGGUGAACCUGCGGAAGGAUCAUUAGAGAAUCGCCGAAAGGCUUUCUUCACCCACACCCGUGCACCCGGUGGCCUCUGGCYGCCGCAACACAAACCGUCGUCAUGAACGUCAUGUAUGAUAAUUGAAACAACUUUCAACAACGGAUCUCUUGGCUCUCGCAUCGAUGAAGAACGCAGCGAAAUGCGAUAAGUAAUGUGAAUUGCAGAAUUCAGUGAAUCAUCGAAUCUUUGAACGCACCUUGCGCCCUCUGGUAUUCCGGAGGGCAUGCCUGUUUGAGUGUCAUGUGANCUCAACACCACCGGGUUUCCGGCGGCGUUGGAUUUGGGCGCUGGCCUGNGGGCCUCGCCUCAAAGGUGUUAGUGGGUCUUGCCUNGACGUUUUAAGCACUCGUCCCCCGGCGGCCCUCUCACAAAGCCCCCCUUCAUUUUGACUCUGACCUCAAAUCAGGCAGGACUACCCGCUGAACUUAAGCAUAU